rnacentral:pre_miRNA from 11 species
GUCUGAAACCCAGUAGAUGCAAUGGUGGUGAAAGACCCCCAGAGUGGGGAGACCCUCACUCAAGUCUCGGGAUAAGCCGACGCCCCAAUAAUUCAAGAGAGACC